rnacentral:rRNA from 1 species
AGAGUUUGAUCAUGGCUCAGAUUGAACGCUGGCGGCAUGCCUUACACAUGCAAGUCGAACGCGAAAGGGGGCAACCCCGAGUAGAGUGGCGAACGGGUGAGCAAUACAUCGGAACGUGUCCUGUAGCGGGGGACAACACAUCGAAAGAUGUGCUAAUACCGCAUACGAUCUACGGAUGAAAGUGGGGGACCGCAAGGCCCCACACUAUAGGAGCGGCCGAUGCCGGAUUAGCUUGUUGGCGGGGUAAAAGCCCACCAAGGCGACGAUCCGUAGCUGGUUUGAGAGAACGACCAGCCACACUGGGACUGAGACACGGCCCAGACUCCUACGGGAGGCAGCAGUGGGGAAUUUUGGACAAUGGGCGCAAGCCUGAUCCAGCCAUGCCGCGUGAGUGAAGAAGGCCUUCGGGUUGUAAAGCUCUUUCGGCCGGGACGAAAUGGCGCGGGGUAAUAUCCCGCGUCGAUGACGGUACCGGAAGAAGAAGGACCGGCUAACUACGUGCCAGCAGCCGCGGUAAUACGUAGGGUCCAAGCGUUAAUCGGAAUUACUGGGCGUAAAGCGUGCGUAGGCGGUCUCGCAAGUCCGAUGUGAAAUCCCCGGGCUUAACCUGGGAACUGCGUUGGAAACUACGAGGCUAGAGUGCGGCAGAGGGGGGUGGAAUUCCAGGUGUAGCAGUGAAAUGCGUAGAGAUCUGGAGGAACACCGAUGGCGAAGGCAGCCCCCUGGGUUAGCACUGACGCUCAUACACGAAAGCGUGGGGAGCAAACAGGAUUAGAUACCCUAGUAGUCC